rnacentral:rRNA from 1 species
GUGUCAGCCGCCGCGGUAAUACGGAGGGUGCAAGCGUUAAUCGGAAUUACUGGGCGUAAAGCGCACGCAGGCGGUUGAUUAAGUCAGAUGUGAAAUCCCCGAGCUUAACUUGGGAACUGCAUUUGAAACUGGUCAGCUAGAGUCUUGUAGAGGGGGGUAGAAUUCCAGGUGUAGCGGUGAAAUGCGUAGAGAUCUGGAGGAAUACCGGUGGCGAAGGCGGCCCCCUGGACAAAGACUGACGCUCAGGUGCGAAAGCGUGGGGAGCAAACAGGAUUAGAUACCCUGGUAGUCCACGCUGUAAACGAUGUCGACUUGGAGGUUGUGCCCUUGAGGCGUGGCUUCCGGAGCUAACGCGUUAAGUCGACCGCCUGGGGAGUACGGCCGCAAGGUUAAAACUCAAAUAAAUUGACGG